rnacentral:rRNA from 1 species
UACGUAGGGGGCAAGCGUUGUCCGGAAUCAUUGGGCGUAAAGCGCGUGUAGGCGGCCCGAUAAGUCCGCUGUGAAAGUCCAGGGCUCAACCCUGGGAUGCCGGUGAUACUGUCGGGCUCGAGUCCGGAAGAGGCGGGUGGAAUUCCUGGUGUAGCGGUGAAAUGCGCAGAUAUCAGGAGGAACACCAAUGGCGAAGGCAGCUCGCUGGGACGUGACUGACGCUGAGACGCGAAAGCGUGGGGAGCAAACAGG